UACAGAGGUCUCAAGCGUUGUUCGGAUUCAUUGGGCGUAAAGGGUGCGUAGGUGGCGCGCUAAGUCAGGUGUGAAAUUUCGGAGCUUAACUCUGAAACUGCAUUUGAUACUGGCGUGCUUGAGGACUGGAGAGGAGACUGGAAUUCAUGGUGUAGCAGUGAAAUGCGUAGAGAUCAUGAGGAAGACCAGUGGCGAAGGCGAGUCCCUGGAAAACACCUGACACUGAGGCACGAAAGCUAGGGGAGCAAACAGG
rnacentral:rRNA from 1 species